rnacentral:rRNA from 1 species
AGAUUGAACGCUGGCGGAAUGCUUUACACAUGCAAGUCGAACGGCAGCACGGGGGCAACCCUGGUGGCGAGUGGCGAACGGGUGAGUAAUACAUCGGAACGUGCCCAGUCGUGGGGGAUAACUACGCGAAAGCGUAGCUAAUACCGCAUACGAACUCUGGUUGAAAGCGGGGGAUCGCAAGACCUCGCGCGAUUGGAGCGGCCGAUGGCAGAUUAGGUAGUUGGUGGGGUAAAGGCUCACCAAGCCGACGAUCUGUAGCUGGUCUGAGAGGACGACCAGCCACACUGGGACUGAGACACGGCCCAGACUCCGUACGGGAGGCAGCAGUGGGGGAAUUUUGGACAAUGGGCGC